rnacentral:piRNA from 1 species
UGUGUGACCAGAAACAGCCUCAGGCCUGUGA